GAGACAGAGAUAGAUCUCAUGAACCGUGAGAUCAUGACUUGAGCCAAAAUCAAGAGUUGGAUGCUGAACCGGCUGAACCACACUGGUGCCCCAG